rnacentral:rRNA from 1 species
UACGGAGGGUGCAAGCGUUGUCCGGAUUUAUUGGGUUUAAAGGGUGCGUAGGCGGCCCGGUAAGUCAGUGGUGAAAGCCUCCAGCUCAACUGGAGAACUGCCAUUGAUACUGCCGGGCUUGAGUACAGACGAGGUUGGCGGAAUUGAUUGUGUAGCGGUGAAAUGCAUAGAUACAAUCAAGAACUCCGAUUGCGUAGGCAGCUAACUAGGCUGUAACUGACGCUGAGGCACGAAAGCGUGGGGAGCGAACAGGG